rnacentral:lncRNA from 1 species
UCGUGUUCAAAGUUUAAAGUUUUCUUUCAAUUGGGUAUCACAAUCCAAACAAAUCGUAAACUAUAUUAAUUAAUCAUCAAAUUCUAUACGUAUGUGUGGAGCUGGCUAAGUUACAGCAUCUGUAACUUACAAAUGCUGCUUCAGCCAACCCCCAACCUUGCAUUUGCAUUGCUUUUUCUCUGUAAGUGGGGACACGUGUGCUAUUCGCUUUGGGUUUGUAUAUGAUACAGAUGCUGUAACAUAGCAACCUCCGUUUGUUUCGUAGUGCUUUCUUCUACUUGUCCAAUGCUCUCAGUCAUCGUCACAAAAGGCCAAAACCCCCACCGAAGGCAGCAUUUUUUAACUAACACGCCCGUUACACGACAGCCCAAUGAACUGCAGCUUUAAUGCGGGUCACUCACUGGAGUCGGAGCGAACCUUUCCCUAUCCGCUAAACUCUCAGCUGUUGCUUCUCUUGGAAGCACGUCCGCAGGCUAACACGUGGCUAAUUUCCGUGCGUUAGCCGACGGCCAGCCAUCAGCUGUCUGUCGUCUUCGACACGUCACCACCAAACCGCCCGCUUAUAGUUUUUCAAACAUUCGUACAGAUACCAUGUGAAUCUUUACACGUGGAGACAGACGACUGGUGGGAGAGGUAUUGGCUUGAUGGCUUCAUUAUUAAAGAAAGAAAACCGCGGUGUUCGUUGAUUCCAGACGACGACAGGCAGUCCGGGACCCACAAAAAAAUGCGGCUGCCGCGCCUUUUCUCGCGAGACUGAUUCACACGUGGAUCCAUUGAAAAAUAAACACUUUUGAAAGUGGUUUUUGUUUUUUUAUUUUUAAUAAAAAUAUUGGUAUUGUUUUUGGUCUUUGAUUUUUUUAGAUUGAGCGCAAUUAAAAUUUUGUAUUCUUACUUUAUUCGCCUUUACCGCCAUUUUGGGUGUUUUCUUCUUGUUUUUUUUUUAGUUAAUACUUUGUGUUCACUCCUCUAACCAAGAAUAAUACAUUUAUGAUUACUUUAUUUUUUUCAUUAGAGCGAAUAUUAAAUUUUUUAUUAUCAUCUGACAUUUCUUGAACACGUAAAUAAUAAUUCUAUAUUUCGAUUAUAAUGAAAAGUUUAGGAUAAUUCUUAUUAAAUUCUUUGUAAAAUACACUUACGUAAACCAAUCCUACACAUUAAGAAUUUGUUUAUUAAAUAUUUAAAAUCUGAAAUUUUAUUCAUUUCAUUUUUAAAAAAAAUUGACUUAUUUAACUUUUU